CAUUUCUGAUUCAUCUCUGUGUCUCUUUUGUACCAGUCCUCCCCAGGUCUUUCCCCCAGCCACAGAAGCAUAAGUCUGGAAGGUACAGGAAAACCUUCAGUUGCUGAAUCUGACUUCACUGAAGAAGCUAAAACAGUUCAGUGCAUUUUCAGCCCUCCAAAUAUUAGCUGAAUUCACUGCCAUGAUCAUAGGAAUGCCAUGGAUCAUGUCUGAACUCCUUUCUGCUCAGUCUCACCAAUGAAAAAUGGAAGAUGCACACUGGCAUAAAAAGAACGUAAUAAGCUUUGGAGCCAGAGAGACUUAGGUUCAAAUCCCAACUCAAUCGCAUACUCUCUGAGUGAUGUUAGUUACUGAUCCUCCGCCUCCCCCAGACCUCUCCUCACUACCUUGUAACCUGCUUUGUGACAAAUUUUGAGCUGACCCUGGAGUAUAGCAACAAACAAGACACCAUUCUUUCCCCGAGGCUCUCCCAGAAAAAUGACUGGACCACUAACUGGAAGACUAUGGGAUUGGUGCCUUUCUUAGGAAAUGUGCAAAGCUCUGUGUGGACACAGGUUCAGAUCUGGUUCUCUUUUUUGGAGGACUACCCUCAGGCUACUGCAGCCACCUCAAAAUCAAGAUCAAAGAGUCAGAUGUUCAUGUCCCUCUCUGGCUCCUUGUGAGGAUAGAUUUUGAAAUCUCCCUGGCCUCCAGAGUUCCCUGCAGGGUGACGCUGAAUCUACUCCAUGGAUCUUGGAGUGCCUGGUCUUCAUUUCUUCCUCCUCCUUCUGCUUUCCCCGCUUAGCCAGGUUCCUGGGAGAG
rnacentral:lncRNA from 1 species